AUUGAACGCUGGCGGCAUGCCUUACACAUGCAAGUCGAACGGUAACAGGUUAAGCUGACGAGUGGCGAACGGGUGAGUAAUAUAUCGGAACGUGCCCAGUCGUGGGGGAUAACUGCUCGAAAGAGCAGCUAAUACCGCAUACGACCUGAGGGUGAAAGCGGGGGAUCGCAAGACCUCGCGCGAUUGGAGCGGCCGAUAUCAGAUUAGGUAGUUGGUGGGGUAAAGGCCUACCAAGCCUACGAUCUGUAGCUGGUCUGAGAGGACGACCAGCCACACUGGGACUGAGACCCGGCCCAGACUCCUACGGGAGGCAGCAGUGGGGAAUUUUGGACAAUGGACGCAAGUCUGAUCCAGCCAUGCCGCGUGCGGGAAGAAGGCCUUCGGGUUGUAAACCGCUUUUGUCAGGGAAGAAAAGGUUCUGGUUAAUAUCUGGGACUCAUGACGGUACCUGAAGAAUAAGCACCGGCUAACUACGUGCCAGCCGCCGCCGUAAUAC
rnacentral:rRNA from 1 species